rnacentral:rRNA from 1 species
AUGGCCCUCACAUGGUUAUGGGUUGUUGUCCAUUAUAUAUCCUUUGACCAUCUUGCCAUGUUCACUUUGCAUGAUAUGCCCAUUCCUAUGCCUUUGCCAUGCAUUUGUGACCCAUGCUUUUCAUUACACAUGAUGAUUGAUUCUAGUACUUGUAUGUGUAUUUGCAAGCGUGGUGGAGAUAUUGUUUGUUAUUGCCAUGAUUGCUUUGUGCCCCAUGCCUAUGAUGAUACUACGAUCUUGAUUUGUGUUCGUGCUUGCGAUAUGUCAUGUACAUUGCCUAUGCCCAUUACUUGCUCACAUGACAUGAUUGCCAUGAUUUCCUCUAGUGUGUUGCAUCUUCGCUCCACUAGCUUGCACGACUUGAUUACUAUGCUUGCUUAUGUUGUAUCACCAAUGAUUUAUACUUGCUCCUUUCAUGCGGUUGAUGACAACCACCUACAUGCUUUGCACAUGAUUAAUAUUGCUUCUUGUCAUAUAUCUCCAUGUGGUGCCUCUCUCAUUCUAGAUGAGUUGCCAUGUAUCGAGUGCAAUUAUGCCUUUAGGAGGAUAACCAUAGCAUUCUCACAUAUGAUUGGAUAUUUUGACAUAUUUCUUGUGAAGCAUGCUUGCCUUACCUCUUUGCACCAUAUACCUAGUGCCAUGAAUAUUGCCAUUGUUGCAUCAUAUUAUUCAUGCACUUGUGCUUCUAAUGGUUAUGUCCAAAAGAAGAGAACCAUCAUGAUGGAUGAUGUGUUUAUCUACCAUGCGCAUACGUUCUUUGUUUUGUUGUGUGCAUGUGUAGGAUACUUGGACUUCGUGUCGACUUCCGCUUCACGUGAGUUGACCAUUCGAGCUCUUGAGAGCGAACCAUCGUCUACCACGACGAUUCUACAUCGCACUUGCUUGUACUUCGGCAUUGUGAAGGACGCACAAGGACACGCUUUCACGGUGAUAUCCUUCUCUUUUGAGAACCCCCAAACCAUGAUCAUGGAUAUUAUGGAUCAUACUACUUGUGUUGCUUUCCCCAUGAGACUUAUUGUUCAUCUUGGAUCACUUGAUUGCACACUUGUUAGAGAUCUUGCUUCGACUUGUCAUUUUAACCAUUCCAUGCAUCAUGAUAUAUAUGCCUUGUGUGUUGCAUCCAAUUCUUGGAUUAUUUGCUCCUCUCAUAUGUUUGGUUGCAACAAUGUCAUCACUUCACAUAUGCCAUGUCCCAUUGCUUGUCACAUGAUUGACUUGAUUGCCUCACAUAUGAUGAACAAUUGCUCUUUCUGUUGUGUUGAGUGCCACACUAUGUUCACUACACCCUAUGCACAUUAUGCUUGGAUUGUCUUGCACUUAACCCAUGUGUUUAGACAUCUCAUCUUCUUAGGUGUUGUGAAUGAUUCCUAUGCCUACCAUAGACCUUUCAUUGAGCGCUUUGCCCAUGCUUGCUAUGAACUUGAGGUAGAUGCUUAUUAUCUCCACACACAUAUUUGCAUCACUACCUCACAUUUACAUGUUUGUCCCCAUGAUAUCUUUGCUUGUGAUCAAUUGAUAUGCUUACAUGCCAUGUCACAAUCCUUUGUCAAACCAUAUGCUUUGCAUGAUGACGACACUUGUUUGGUGACUCACCUCUUGAAUGCUUGGUUUUGCACUAACUGUAACCACAUUUAUUUUUCCAAGUGUUUGUUGUCCUUACUCCUUUUGAAGGAAUCACAAGACGGUGCGACAUUGGAGAGUGCCCAUUUCGAGCUUCAAGAUGACAAGUACUUGGUGAACGUCCACUUCUACACGGAGAAGCCAUCUCUUUCCCAUGGUGAUUUGGUUUUCGAUCCAAGGUCGGAUCUUUCCCAAGGGAGGGGAGAUGAUGCGGAGCAUCCUAUGGACAUCACCAUGUCAAGAGUUCGUUUGGCAAGUGACACAUGCGACAUCUACUUCACAUACGCAAAGGUGAAUCAUCUCCUUUACACGUGCUCACUUGACACCUUCGAGGAUGGUAUACUACUUGACACUCCACUCGUGUGCAUGCAUAGGUAUUGUCGGAACACUACAGACGAGGAGGAGGAGUGCAAGCGCCAAGGAACAACUACACCAUCCGCGAGGGAAGCUUGGAAGCGAUGA